GGCGGAGCGGUGUAGUGGUAGUAUACCCGACCGGGAUAUUGGGAGACUCUAAGUUCAGAUCCCGGCUCCGCCA
rnacentral:tRNA from 1 species